ACACUUCUUAGAUGGUAGCACGGCAAUGAGCAUGCAGAAGCAGUGCUACUUUCAGUGCUGCCAUAGAAGGAUUGU
ensembl:miRNA gga-mir-1598 gga-mir-1598